UGGAAGUGCCGGCGGCGGAGGAGGAGGAGGCGGUGGUGGUGGAAACUCUCCAUCGCCGAAAAGGAGGCAUACUCCUAGGCCUCCAACGCCGCGUCAAUCCAGUUCACCAAAGUCCUUUACGAAAUCCCCUCCACCACCUUCUUCAAAGUCUUCGCCUUCCACUAGAUCACAUCCUCCACCACCACCGUCAUCCCACUCUUCACCAAUGCCUCCUUUCCAUUCCCCACCGUCGCCACCACCACCGAAUUACUCUCACUCUUUAACUCCACCACCCCCGACUCAAAGAGUGUCACCAAAGACGCAUCUUCCACCGCCACCUCCGCCUGUUCACUACGAGCCCAUACAAUCUCCACCUCCACCACCAAUGGUACAACCACCUGCACCAGCCCCAUCAGGCCAUUACUAUAGUGCACCACCACCACCAAACCGUUACUC
rnacentral:lncRNA from 1 species